rnacentral:lncRNA from 1 species
CUAUUUUAUCACUCAGCUUUGGCUUUGAGUAAAUUUGCAUACCAUACCCAUUUGAGGGAGCUGUGUUUCUCCUGAAACACACAAACCAAAAGCACAGAGAGAAGAAUUUGGUGAAACUUUCUUUAGAUUCAGUUUAAUUUCCCUCUUCAGUGGAAGGUUAUAAUGACCAAUGGGCAACGAGUUUGAUCUUUGAUUUAGAACUAUUUAUUCCCCAAGGAUGGCUGGUAAGAGACAAAAAUGCUGUGGAAUUGGUUCACGCUCAUACAGCUAGUAAGCAGCAGAGGCUGGAACGUCUGUUUGACUCCAAAGUCCACUGGAGUCCUACAUACGACAAGCCCAAUUCUCCUUCCUCCAUGUCCUUCGAAGUCCUUAAAUGUCCAUUUAACUUAAGGUCUGACACCUCCUGCAACUUGGUCAGAAGACUCACGGCUCUAUUCGCUUCUCCAGAACUCUCACUCCAGGCAUUGAAGAUAGAUACACAGAAGAGAUCUUGUCAGUUACCUCUUGGCUAAAGGGCAAGAUAGGAGCAGCGACACAGUAUUACUCAUGUUCAGCCUCAUGCAGAAUGGAGGGAGCCUCUUUCCAGCUGGAAGGGCAGCCGUCUUGGGCGGGAGGGAAGUGGCAGGUAAGGUGCUUCUCCAUGAGGUUCACUAGGUUCUUCUCCCUGAAGUGUGGAGAGCCUAUCACAGUCACCAAGGCGCAGGGCACUCACAAGAAGGUGGCAAGGAGGAAAACACCUGCCCUUCUCAGUGAGACCUAGAGUCCAACAAUGGGGGCGGGGCCUGAGGCGGAAGCUGACUACACCGCCAUCCUCUGCUCACACUGGGCUGCUGGGAUGCUCCUCAGCAGCCAUUCCACCCUCUCCAACGGGGAGCCAUGAGCCAUGAGGAAGAACUUUCUCCCCCUUACACUCAGGAGGCUGCCCUGCCGUUUUCUUCCUGAAGUUUAAAAUAUGUGUG